UGUGUUAAUAUUUUAUUUUUUUCUAUGUGGCUAAUUAACCUCUUAUACAUAAGCUUUUCCAAUAAUUUAGAAAAACAAGUGAGAACAGAUAUAGGCCGAUAAUUCUUAAAUUCAUUGUUUUCGUUUGCUUUGAAAAUAGGGGUAACUAGAGCUAUUUUUAGAUCAUCAGGAAUAGUUCCAGAAAGAAAAGUCAAGUUAAAUAUGUGUGAAAGUGGUUCAGAAAUUUCUGGAGCAAUCACUUUGAUUACCUGUGAGCUUAUACCAUCAUAUCCAGGGCUUUUUUUGGAAUUCAAAUUAUUUAUCUCAUUUUCUAAUUCAUCUUUAGUUAUUGGAUUAAUAAAGAAGCUUCCUUUACAGCUAUUAGUGAGAUAUUUAUCGAAAUUUGUUGUGCUAUUCGAAAGUUUUUUUCGCAAGUCCUGGGCCAAUAUUUACAAAAUAAUCAUUGAAUCUAUUUGCUAUUGAUUUUGGAUCGGUAAUUUUUUCUCCAGGACUAUUUCCAAUAAAUUCCAUUGGUAACAUACUACUUGUUUUAUUUCGAUUCAUAAUUUCAUUUAAUGUUUUCCAUAGUACCUUUGUAUCAUGUUUAUAUUUUAUUAACUGUUCUUCGUAAUGUUUCUUUUUUGCCGCUCUUAUUAUAUGAUUUAGUUUAUUUUUAUAUUGUUUGUAUGUUUUUCCUUUUUUUCUGUAGGGCAUUGAAGGUAUUUUUUAUAUAACUUGUUCUUUUGCAUAACUGAUUUUGCAAUACAUUUUGUCAUCCAUGGGCUUCGGGUUUUGUCAAUAUUUCUUUUCACUACUUUUCUUUUUAAUGGAAAGUUUUUUCAUAGGCUAUUGAAAGUAAGUUAAAGAAUUCAUUGUAGGACUCUGCCGUGUUGUUUUUAGAAAGUACAUUAUCCAUAUUAUAUAUUAUUCUUGUUCAUCCGUUCCAUUCGGUCCUGAUGGUUAUUAUAAUGUCGGUCCAUGAAACCAAAUCCAGAGCCCGUUGGGCGCGUUGGGAGGCUAUGAUUAUAUCACCU